AUCCUAUUGUAGUUUAUAAGCUUGAUGAUUGGGUAUUCACGCCAUUGUGUGACAUGUGGCUCCCUCAAAGCUUGUUAUGACCCCCGCACAUGACCUGUCUGAUG
ensembl:snoRNA